UACAGAGGGUGCGAGCGUUGUCCGGAAUCACUGGGCGUAAAGGGCGCGUAGGUGGCGGCCCAAGUCCAUGGUGAAAGCUCGAUGCUCAACAUCGAGUCGGCCACGGAUACUGGGUUGCUCGAGCACUGUAGAGGCAGAUGGAAUUCCGGGUGUAGCGGUGGAAUGCGUAGAGAUCCGGAAGAACACCGGUGGCGAAGGCGGUCUGCUGGGCAGUAGCUGACACUGGGGCGCGACAGCGUGGGGAGCAAACAGG
rnacentral:rRNA from 1 species